CGCCUCUCGUUCCCACAAUGCCCGGGAAAAGGGAGGGGGCAAAUCCCACCGGGUAUAAAGGCCCUCAGAGCAGCUGCAGCUGUUUGGCUCCUCUGACUCUAAUUCAAGGGGGGUAAGUGGCUUGUUAUAGAAGAAAACUUUUCAGGGAAAUAACAGCACUUUUUUUUUUUCCCUAUAACUGCUUGGAGCAGAAGAACAGAAAACAGAAAAGCGGGGACUAUAAAGUAUUGACCUGGGAAAAGAACUCCCAAGAUUGCCUGCAUAUAGACUGUAAGCCGUAACGUAACCAAACAAGAGUUAAAGAGCCUGUUACAGCAAGCAAACAAACAGUGAGAUCUUUAUUAAGUGGACGCGAGACUAACUUUACCACUUGGUAAGCAGCGGCGCGGUAAAAGUAACAUUUAGCUCCCCCGCUGGGAGCAGAAACUGCUGCGGCCACUUUGUGCUUUUUUUUUCUGCAUCGCAGCCGGCAAUUGCAUUCACAGCGGUGCCGGCGGGAGUCGACCCUGUAUUACCCGUGCCGACCCCUCCCGUGGCCGCCUCCCCAGCAGAGCCCGUGAGAGCUCCGGCCGCGGCUGUCCUGCCAUCUCCCGUGUCGGCUCCACCAGCAGCUGUCUGCGCCUGCACUGCAGCUUUCGGCACCCGGAAAGGACGCGGCUGCCGUCCCCAGCCCGGCAAGAGAUGCAUUUCCUUCAGCUUUGCAGCCCCCACAGACUCCCGCGGCGACCCCGCCUUCGCCCGCCGCGCCGGUGAAGAAGAUUAGAGUCGACAAUAGCGACCACCAAGCGGAACCGUCUUCAGAGCCACCCCUCUGCCCCCAACAGUAGCUGCCAGCGCCUGCGAUCAGCCGAGAUUCCCUCCCGAACUUUUCCAACUGUCCCGAGACUGCCCCUGCGGGGGCAGCUGAGACAGGGGAGAAGACGAGGAGGAGGGGGGGGACGCCAUCCUGCCCCUGCGGUGCCGCAAGGGCCUGUGUAAAAACUCAGCGUUUUUUGCAAGCCGAUUCGAGUCUAGUUUAGAAGUUCCCAUUAAAGUUUAAAAUGCUUAAAUUCCCCUGCUCGCCCCAGCGGCCUAGAGAAAGUAACUCCUAAAAGUUCUGCCUCUGUUCCCCAGCCCGGGUGGGGGGGGUGAGAGUAGUACCAAGGAGCUGUAAAUUAACCCUGUGAGUACACCAAAGGGAACUGCAUAACUGUAAAGAAUCUAAAAGCCUGUGUUAUAUAGACCUUUUUAACCAUUCACAGUCUAUUUACUCCCAGCUCUCUGACUUGCAGAGGUUAACUAGAAACUUACAAGUAAAAUUAAGCUUUAGUGUUGAUAGAUAGCUCAAAUCUCUAAGCCUAAGAUUAUAGCUAUGUUUUAUUGUUAAAGCUAAUAUUAUAAUAAGUGUUAUAGCUUUGUUAAUAGUAUUAGUUUUGCUUUGGUUUUGCAUGUGCUUAUAAAAAAUAGUAUAAAAAAUAAUAUUUACUGCAUUUAAUCAAACAUUGCUUGUGCAAAAAGAAAACAGGGGAAUUGUUGGGAAUUGGUUACAUUACAAAGGUCACGUAGACAUGCUCUGGAUAGCUGAGAAUUGGAAAAAUACUGGCCAAGCUAAUCUGAGGCCCUGCAACUGCAAGGCCGCAGUGGCCUUGGGUAUAGCUGUAGUCUGAUAACAGGAUGAUGUAGCCGAGAGCAGAGCAUGAGAAAAGAGAGAUGUAAGUUGUAAAGAAUGAAGAAGUAAGAAUACCCAAUAGACUGCUUAGCUUACAGAAUAUGCAUGAGCUUAUUACAUGUUGUGCUUAAAUGUCUGAUGCUCUAAUCAAUAAACAAAGCUUGCUGAUCCUCACA